rnacentral:rRNA from 1 species
CGCCGCCGCGCGCGGCGGGCCUACGGGAGGCAGCAGUGAGGAAUAUUGGUCAAUGGGCGGAAGCCUGAACCAGCCAAGUAGCGUGCAGGAUGACGGCCCUAUGGGUUGUAAACUGCUUUUAUACAGGAAUAAAGUUAGCCACGUGUGGUUAUUUGUAGGUACUGUAUGAAUAAGGACCGGCUAAUUCCGUGCCAGCAGCCGCGGUAAUA